GAUGACAGCUGCACAGCCACAGCUUCAUGCUAUCUCCAGAAAUUAUUAAAUCCACAUGAGCUGAACCAUGUUUUAAACUUUAAAAUCCAAAGACAGACUCGCAUGCAAGUUUGAGUUCCACAACUACAGCAUUCCUAAGCCUCUGAAACACCACCUGAUUACCUACUGAUUUUUAAGGAGAGAGGUUUGGUUUCGAUUUAAAAAGAUCUUGGAUCAAGAUCUAAGCAGCACACAGUCAUAUGAACCUGCAGAACUGGGCUUGGCUCCUUCACUUGGCAGAACCCUGGGGAUUACUGGCAAUGCAGUAAAACCUUCACAGAAUCACAGAAUCAGUUUGGAAAAGCACUCUGAAACCAUCGAGUCCAACCUAUGACCAAACACCACCUUGUCAACUAGACCACGGCAGUAAGUGCCACAUCGUCUUUCCUUAAACACCUUCACUAUCCCUGGGCAGUCUGUUCCAAUGUCUAAUCACCUGUUCUGUGAAGAAAUUCCUCCUAAUGUCCAACCUCAAUUAUACAUCUCAGCAUCAUCAUUGACUGUGUACAACUCAACAAUGAGAAGAUAAUUUUAGCGCCUGCUAUAGAUAAGUAAUAUGAUGAUUGGCUCUUGCAAUAAGGGGAUGAAUAUUGUGUGUAUGUUAAGGGAUGUUUUAUUGAUGUACAGAUAUGCUACUGUGGUUUGCUGUUCAGAUGUCCUCUCUUCUCCCCAUUGCCCCCUUUCCUCCCCUCUGCGUUGUUGCAGCCUGGGCUGUCCUGGACAUGAGGCGAGAAGAGGUGUCCAUGUGCCCCUAGCAUGGGGCGUUUGGGAGGAGGGAAAGCUUGUUACCAGGAUGCACGGCAUGGCAACUCAUGACCAAUCUUGUUGCAAGGAAGUACCUCCAACAAUGGGCGGCGAAGAAGAGUUGCUGACAGACUCUAGAAGGGGCCAGGGUUGCCCGAUGCCAGC